rnacentral:rRNA from 1 species
UACGAAGGGGGCUAGCGUUGUUCGGAAUUACUGGGCGUAAAGCGCGUGUAGGCGGCUUUGCAAGUCGGGUGUGAAAGCCCUCAGCUCAACUGAGGAAGUGCGCCCGAAACUGCAGAGCUUGAGUGCCGGAGAGGGUGGCGGAAUUCCCCAAGUAGAGGUGAAAUUCGUAGAUAUGGGGAGGAACACCGGUGGCGAAGGCGGCCACCUGGACGGUUACUGACGCUGAGACGCGAAAGCGUGGGGAGCAAACAGG